UGGUGGCAUACCUGUCACUGGUAAUCCUAUAGAGGGAGGAGACCAACUUGCUUAUUGACCUCAGGAGUUCUAAGCUACAGUGAGCUAUACCUAUUGAGUGGGUCUCUGCGCUAAUUUCAGCAUUAAUUUCAGAGCCUUUUGGGAGCAGAGGCCACCAGGUUGCCUAAGUAAGAGUAAAUCAGCCCAGGUUGGAAAUGGAGUAGGUCAAAGCUCCCAUGCUGAACAGUAGUGGGAUCAGGCUCAUAACUAAUCCUUUCUACCUUGGGUAAGACAGGGAGAUAGAGUCUUUU
rnacentral:SRP_RNA from 1 species